CACCCCAGCAAUGUACAAAGAGACCCAUCGUUGUUGGCGGUGCUCUUCUAUCAGUCCGGGGCAGAGCAGAUGGCAGUCCCUUGUUCAUACUAGCUUGAUACCUGGCUUGGUGGCCAAAACUGUUUUAUGCCUAGGACACAUAA